AAAAGGGACCUUUCUUUUAUGGGGGACUGAUUUUGAUCCUGAACAGAAAGGCCAUAGAACUCUAGGAAAAACUCUCCCUUUGGAUUUAUUUUUAUAGUUAGAAGCAGGAAGAUGGAGUAUAAUAACUAUUUUGCUCUAUCUUCUGCUCUAACAAAACCCAGUUUAAUCUUGCCUGCUCUAACCUCAUAGACCUACAUAUUUUUAUUUCAUAACCAUGCAAGGGGAUUAUCAUUAUGGAUCUGUAUAUGAGCUGUGUUCCAUGGCAUUGACCCAAGAACAUCAAUUCUAAUCAGAGGAGGACUGCUGUUUACUUGGUGGAUGUGUGGUAUGUAUACUGGUAUUUUUCGGGAGUCACUACAGAAGAAAUAUCAUCUCAAGGUGAACCUCUCUUCUUCUCACUCCUUUCAAAUGCAUGUGCUGAACGCCAAUGCAAAGUUAACAGAAACAUUGAUCUUAUUUUUCACCGAAAACAAUAGGGGACCUGCAUUUGUUGCAUUUAUAGCUGUUUUAGAAUCAGAUAAAAGCGAUUGAUGAUGGAGGAGUUAUGCACAUUUGUAAUUUGCCGAAUGUACGCAAUUGCACAUAUUCUCUUAUUUUUUCUAGACGAGGAUUCUUGUCCACUAGAAACACCUCGGUUGACUUAUCCAUGUGCACUUUGCUUGAGUACAUGGGUUGAUCCUUCAGUGACCAUUAGGUUAGAAGAUGGAGGCUGCUUAUGUGUUUUUCGAUAUUUCCUACUAUUUCAUUCACAUGCAAUAGCUGCACAACCUUGGCCAUUAAUUUGGGGUUGGUUUACGGAUUGUAGAGUGUUGUGGUUGAAAUUCGGCCUGAGGGUGUCCACGCCGGAGGGAGUCGAGGAGACGCAGGCCGGGACGGAGAAGGGCCGCCUCCGGUGCUCCGGGGUACCUCCAACAAGACACCGGCUGGGUUGGAGAAAAGAGAGCCAUCUCCUGCGCUCCGGGGUACCUGCACAAAGCCUUCAUCGGGCAUCCCAGCAAAGGCCCUCCGAUGGCUUAGUUAGCAGAAUUUUGAAGGGUCCUAUUGUGGUUGGGAGAGAAGUCCUCUUGGAGUAUUUUUUUAUGGCCUCUUUUAUAUUUCUUACCAGAGUGCCUCGGUGGCGGAGGUAUUGAAAGAUAUCCUAUGAUGCUUGUAGCGAUAGCAUGCUGAAAUUUAAAACUUUUUCAAAAUUAUUGACUGUACCUAUUCAGGUUGCCUACAUGCCCCUUCGCAAGGGGGAUCAAGCCAUACGUAGUUCUUUUAAUUUUCAAAAUCGCAGCGGAAAAUCGAAUUAAACAUUUUAAUUCUAGCAAGCAUAAGAAAUCAAAUUUCAAUUUACCACUACAAGUAUUCAUGAUCAAUAUGCCGGGAUCGUUUAAACGAUUAUGCUAAAAUCAUUGCACGAUUAAUUAUAGAUCUAAAAUGAAAUUAUUAAUUAAGUUUUAAACUCAAUUAAUCUAACACCCAACUAAUCUUCGAAUGUCUAUCGAAUAGGCUCUGAAGAUUACUCUGUGAAGAGCCCUAAAAGAGGUUUAACCCUCGGGGAUUGGAACCUAUAAGAGAUAUCUUUGGAUCUAGAUUCAUACUUUUAUGAAAUCUGAAAGUAAUGGAUCUGAUGCUUGAGCUUCGUAGCCAUACACUUGUUUGGCCUCUACAAGUGAUCCACGCGAAGCUCCUGGAGUGAUCCAAUCCCGCGGAAGUGCUAGCUUGCGCAGGAUCUUCCUUGUUGCUAAAUUUUGAUCUUUCAAACGCUAUCAACUUUUGAUUCGCCUUCUUAGAAGAACUUGAAGGAAUGGUUAGUAGGGAUUGAAGAGAACUUAGAUCUGAUCUAAAAGCUCUUAUUAGAAACCCCGUGUUGGGAAUUGGAUCCUAAAUGUCAAUCAUCAGCAUAUUGAUGAUUGAAUUUUGUACAUGAAUUGAUAAAUUAAUAAAGUGUUAUUUGACAUUAAUCAUCAUUUCAUCUUCAAAUAAACUCUUAUAUGAUGAAGUCCUUAGAACUUAUGUUAUGAUAAAGGAGGAUUUAUCUUUGAGUCCUUAAACUUGUUCGCGACCAAAUGAUAUGUUGUUACUAGGACGACAGCAUUAUCGAGAUUAGGUCGUUGUGUGAAAUAUACGUUGGUUGUCCUCUUAACUAAGGAGUGUGGAGACACUGGUAUGCCACACAGGUGAAGUGUAGGAGUACAUUUUACUGAACGUGACCAAUUUCGGUAUACUCUACUGUUAAGAGAUGUUCCGAGUGGAUAUGGAUAUAAGUUUGGCCCUCUGACCUGAGACCGCAACCUGUGACUAGCAAGCAACUCACUGUAUUUUGGUACCGGACUACCUGAAUUUCUAAUUCAGUGACGGAAGGUCACUGGGUGCAGUCAAGUACUUGUGUAGUCAGUUGUGAGUCAAGAUGGAAUUGACCCCUUCUGGAAACAGGAGAUAAUAUCUUGUGAUUAAUUUAGCAAAACCUUGGCCAGGGUAAUCCCAGUAAGGAGUCACAUGAUAUCUAAAGUUAAUCACAUAAUGGAUGUACUAAUUAUAGGGUUGACAGUGAGCUCUAAGUCAUCCUGGCAUUAGGAGUCAAAGGGAUUGAAUUAUACAGUAACUAUAGUCCAGGGUUCCAGAAUAUUUGCUUUGCAUAUAUUCGGCUUAUCCGGACGUCGGGUACCAUUGCUAGAUGGUCACAUCGAUUAGUAUAGGAAGACGUUUCUAUACUACCGGCUUAGGUUCGAACCUAUGAGGUCACACGCAUAAAAGUUUCUAGGUUGAUCAAAUGGUUGAUUGAUGAUUAAGAAUCAUUCAGGGGUAAUUUGGUCAAUUCGAUUGAUAAAUUAUCCUAAGAAAAAGUUGCAUUAAAAUAAUUAUUGAAUUAUUGGAGGAUUAAUUAGCAAUUAGAUUGCUGAUGAACUCAAUUUGAUUGAGCAAUUGGGCUUAGGUUGAGCCAAAUUGAAUAGGAUUCAAUUUGGGCUGCAUCCUAAUUGGAUUGGGUUCAACCCAAGUAGAUUGAGCUUGACCCAAUUGAUGGGACUUGAUCCAAUUGGAUUAUACUUGAUCCAAAUCAAUUAGAAGAUCUUAUUUGAUGAGGAUUAUGAGUCCAAAUAAUCAGAAUUGGAUAAGAAGAAGAAUUCCUAAAUUUUAGGAACCCAUCCUUAUCUUCUUGGAGAAGAAUGAAACCUUGAUUUAUCCCCAAUAUUUUUCACACCUAUCCUAUUUAUUUUUGGCCAAAAAUUGGCAUGAGAAGAGAGGAGGCAUGGGGCUAUAUUCCCUACAAAAAUGGCGCCUCAAAUAUUCCUAAAAAUAUUUAGAUGAAUUUCCUAAUUUGUAGGGAAUGCAUGGUGCAUGAAAAAGGGUGGUCUGCGGCUAAACUUUGGACGCAUGAAUUUCUAUCUUUUAGGGAUCCAAAAUGUACAAAAUUUGAAUAUAUUUAUCUUCUCUUAGCUGCCAAAUCACCAGAAUUUUUUGGAAAUUUUAUCAGCCAAAUUAAUUGGCUAAAUUAGGUGUGAGGCGUGGGGGGUCUUUUGGCUAUAAAAGACCCCCAUGCUUAGGGUUUAAAAUAUACAAUAUUUAGAGGUUUCAAAAAAUUCUGAAAUUUUUUUUUGAGGGCCUCCAUCCCUUCUUCUCCUUCAUCCUCACAUCCAUCCUCCAUCUCCUUGAAGAAAAAUCAAAGGUUGAGUAUUUAGAAGAAGAAAGCUUCAGCCACUGUAGUGUUCCUGCGCGAGCUAGCACUCCCGCGGAAAACGAUCUCCUAGGGCUUCGCGUGUACUUCUCGUAGAGGCCAUUCGUGUGCGUGGCUACGAAGUCAAGGAUCAGAUUCAGAAGUUUCUUUCAUCAUAAAAGGUAUUAAUUUUAUAUUAAUCUUUUAUUUUGGAGUCAGGGUCUAGGUUCGAUUUCUCGAGGUUUUACCCUUCUUUGGGGCUCCUCAUGGAGUUAUCUCCAGAAUGCAUUCGAUGGAUAUUCGGAGAUUAAUCGAAAUAGAGUGUUUACCUUUCAGAUCUGAUAGAUCAUGCAUAAAGUUUUAGCAUAAUUGUUUAAACGAUUCCGACAUAAUCCUAUGUGUUCUUACAAUGCUGAUUUCUAUAUUUGAUCUUGCAAGUAUGCACGAAUUAAAUUGUUUGAUUCGAUUUUUUCGCUGCAUUUUUGAAACUUAAAAAGAACUACGUAUGGCUUGAUCCUCCUUGUGAAGGGGUACGUAGGCAAUCCGAUCAGGUUCAGCCAUGGUUUUGAAAAAAAAAAAAAUUUAGCAUGCUUAACACCGAAGAACCUAGGAUGCACUUUCACCCCUAACAGCUAUUUCGAGAUGGACUUAGAGGAGAAUAUGUGUGGCAAGAUAGAAAGCUGAAAAAACUAUUUUUUCUUUCUUUUCUCUCUUGGUUUUUCUUAUCUUUUCAUAUUUGGCGACACAAGGAACUCUUCCUUUUAUAGGCACGCCAUCUGAUCAUUUGAAUUCAAAAUUCAAAUGAAAAUUUGGUAUCUUGUUGGCGCAUGAAGGGGAUGGUUGCAACAAGAUAGAUCUUAUCUUGUUUGAAUUCAAAAUUUAAAUAAUAUAUGGUUCAUGCGGGUAAGAUAAAAUCGAAAUGGAUGGUGAUGAUCUUCCAUCAUCAUCUGCCCAUUCUCCCACAUGUUCCACGAUCCAAAUCUCAUGAGAUUUCAUUGAAAAACCACUUCUGGAUCGAAUCCAGAAAGUUCAGAAUGUUCGCAAGCUCCAAAUUUUUCGGAAGGAGUCGACCUUCCCGAUCUCGAGUCGAUUCCAAGUCGCCUCGAGUCGACUCCUUCCCUUUCGAGUCGACCCUGGCUGAGACGACAGAGAACCUUUUUCCUGAUACGCCCAGCGAGUCGACUCCUUCAUAGCUCGAGUCGACUCCAAGAAAACUUGAGCCGACUCCAAGUCAGGAAAAUAGAAGAAGACGUUCUCUGGAUUCUCUGAGAGACUUGACCCCAGCCAAGCUUGGUCGACUCCAACCCAUCUCGAGUCGACUCCAAAGAAACUCGAGUCAACUUCAAUCAGGUCAAAAACUCUAAUUGAACCCAAAAUUGAAUCAAAUUCAAUUUUGCUCAUCCUUAGUCCAAUUACUCAAUUAAAUUGAGUUUAUUAGUAAUCUAAUUACUAAUUAAUCCUCCAAUAAUUACCUUAAUUAUUUUAUAGGAUAAUUUGCCAAUCGAAUUGACCAAAUUAUCCCCGAAUUAUUCUCAAUCAUCCAUCAGCAAUCUUGAUCAAUCAGGAAACUUCUAUGCGUGUGACCUCAUAGAUUCGAACCUAAGCCGGUAGUACAGGAACGACUUUCUGCACUAAUCGAUGUGACCAUCUAGCAAUGGUACCCGACGUCCGGAUAGGCCGAAUAUAUGCAAAGCAAAUAUUCUGGAACCUUGGACUACGGUUACUGUAUAAUUCAUUCCUUUGACUCCUAAUGCUAGGAUGACCUCAAAGUUCUGUCAACUCUCUAAUCAGUACAUCCAUUAUGUAAUCAACUUUAGAAAUUUUUUGACUCAUCGCAAGGAUUACCCUGCCAAGGUUUUGCUAAAUUGAACACAAAGCAUUAUCUCCUGUUUUCAGGAGGGGUUAAUUCCAUCUUGACUCAUGCACCGAUUUCGUAAGUACUUGACUGCACCCAGUAACCUUCCAUCCUAGAAUUAAAAAUUUUGCUAGUCAGGUACCAAAGUACAGUGAGUUGCUUGCUAAUCACUGUGGUGAUCUCAGGUCUGAGGAAUACUUAUACCCAUAUCCACUCGGAACAUCUCUUGACCGUAGAACAUUUCAAAAUUGAUCACGUUCAGUGAAAUAUACUCCUACACUUCACCUGUGUGAUAUAUCAUUGUCUCUACACUCCUUGGUUAAAAGAACAACCAAUGUAUAUAUCACACAACGACCUAAUCUCGAUAAUGCUAUCGUCCUAGUAACAAUAUAUCAUUUGGUCGCGAAUAGGUUUAAGGACUUAAAGAUAAAUCCUUCUUUAUCUUAAAAUAAGUCCUAAGGAGUUCAUCAUAUAAGAGUUCAUUUGAAGAUGAAAUGAUGAAUAAUACCAAAUAACACUUUAUUAAUUUGUCAAUUCAUUUACAAAAUUUAAUCAUCUACACACUGAUGAUUGACUCUUAGGAUACAAUUUCCAACAGGUAUGGCCCCGGCAGGUAUGGCAGGGUAUGGCCUAUGGCAGGUGUAGCAGGCUAUGGCCCUUGGCAGGUGUGUCCGGGUAUGGUCCUGGUUGACACGUUAUGGCAUGACCAACAAGUAAAGUACGACAUGGUAAGGUUGUUGCAGGCGAUGGCUGCAACAUGUGUUUGUGGAGGUCGGCUCGGUCUCUGGCGGAGGUCGGCUCGCUCAAUAGGGUUUGGGUGGUUCCAUGCUUGAGUAGGAUGAUCCAUUUUACCUCCCAUCAUUUGCUCCCCGACUUUCGAGUCCGAGUCAUUCUUUGGCUCGGGCGAAGAAAGUAAUCGAGUCGCCGAUCGUCCUGCAAUACAGUCAGGCAUUUGUGAAGAUAUAAGUAUCAAGUAGGGCGCACCUCUUAUGUUGCUGGAGCUAGUGGCUUUAGGCUAACUUUCCGAGCCGAGCUUGGAUAGUUUAAGCUGCCACAUCAUUCCAAGCUGCCACAUUAUUCCAAGCUGAGGUGGUCGAGGGAGCUCUUUAAUGCGUUGCGUGUGCGCUCCCUUUCGAGGCGUUACUUGAUGGUAUACGAGGGGCUAAUCAUCAAUGCCCUAUCUUCCGAAGCGGCCAUCAUGAUGAUCGACCUUUAACGCAACGAUCCAGAAAGAUUUUCUGAGGGAGCUUCUGGGCCUGCCAUGUGGUAAGAUCUGGCCGUUCGGCCACCCAGGUGGGUCGAUCGGAGUUGUCAAGGUAGGCUACAUAAAGCCUUGAGGGGGGCCUUAGGGCCCCUAUUUAAACUCUAUUCUUGCUCUUCUUCUUCCUGGCCGCCAUCGCCGUCGUCCUCAAGCUCCACUUCGAGCGUUCUUGGUGCUUUGCAAUGGAUUUUUCUCCCCCAUCUUCAGUUUUUGGUGAUCCUUCUCUCUUUCCGGUUAUCUUCUCUGGUGGAGCCUUAGGUCGGUGUUCUCUUCCGUUCUCGGUCGCUUGGAGAUUUUAUCCUUCUCUCUUUGAUUUUCUAUGAGUGAGGCGGAGACCUUGAUUGCAAGGGGCUUGCCUUCGAGAGCUUCUGAGCCCAGCACGGGUCCAUCCCGGGUUUGGGCUUCUCCGAAUGCGGGGGAGGCCGAGCUUGGGUUGGACCAUAGUCCGAGCGGAAUUAGCUCAAGUCUGACCGAAGAGGAGCUGGGCUUGGUCCGAGCUCGGUUCUCCUUCCUGCACGAGUUCAUUCUUGAGCUUCCGGGACCUAGGGCUCGGGUGACCGACCCUCCUCGAGGCCGGAUUGGAGCGUAUGUGAAGACUGUCCGAGCUGGUCUAAGGUUUCCUCUUCAUGGGUUCUUGAACUAGCUUCUGGCGACUUAUCGCCUCAUUCCUGCGCAGCUCGCUCCGAACUCAUGGAAAAUGAUCAUAGGCUUUCUCUCGCUUGGCUUGGCUCAUGGUUUUCCCACCUCGGUAAACGUCUUUCGGGGCUGCUUUGUACUAAAAGCUAGCCCCGCAGACAAACGGUGGUGGUACUUCUCUUUUAGAGAGGCCGCAUACUCUUUCGAGGUGAUCCUUCCUCCAUUCAUAGGUGGAAGGACAAAUUCUUUUUUCUUACUUCCGAGCGGUUGUGGGGGUUUGACCCAACCUGGGGCUCGCCGCUGGCCACGGUGAAUAAGUGCCCAAGCGAUCACAGUUCGAGCAGGAGAUUGUAGACAGGCUGCUCCGGUUGGGAGGAACUGUGAAGCUUCCCAACCUGCUGAGUGAGAAAGUUUUGGUGAACAUCGGCGUGAGCUCAGCUCAUCCCAAGAGUAAGGGCAACAGGGUGAUUUUUCUUUCUUUUCCUUUUCUCCUUUCUCAUACUUGAUUCUUAUUUGAGUUUCGGUUGUCAGAAAUGGCAGGGAUGGUUUUCAGUGAUGAGACCUUGAUGGCCUGGUAUAAUAAGAGAGCGACCGCCUCGGAUGGAGCUCGUCCUGAGCCGAGGUCAAAGAAGCCAAGGACCGCAUCUUCUUUUGGUGUUACGCGGGGCGAGCCCGCUCGAAAGGCUAAGCAGCCCCCACCGACUGAAGAAGGGGUUGAAGGAGGAUCCGCGGUGGAACAGGCAGUCGCUGCGCCUGGCGGCGACACUCAGAGGGCCUGCAAGGUUGUCUGAUUGUGGAGAUCGGGUCCUGAGUCGGGGAGUGGACUCGGGGUUCCGGUUUCUUCUGGGGUGCCGACCUCUUUCGAGGCCUUAAGCUCUUCAAGAGCUAAUCCCGCUCCCUCUGAGCUCGGGAGGACACUAUUCCUACCUGGAAAUCAACUAUUCGAGGACGAUUCGGCCCUCGAAUCUAGCGAUGUCACUCGCGUGGUCUUCUGCGGCGCCAUGCUUCCGGCCGACCGAUCACGGCUGCAGUUGGGGUUCGAAGGCUUCGUCGAUCAGGCAUACUGUGCUGGCAUCUUGGUGAGUAAUGCCAUACUCUUACUUUUAUAUUUUUCCAAGUGCUCGACCUCGGCUAAUAUUUUGUUUUUUGUGUCAGCACCUUCAUGUGAUUGACAUGUUGGUGGCCGCUGCGUCCAACUACUGAGAUCGGGCGAGGUCAUCUCGGUCAAAGGUGGAGGCCGCUGAGCGACAGAAGCAAAAGGCCGAGGCCCAGGCGAUGGGUGCCAAGCAACGACAGCAAGAGGCCAAGGAGAGUUCUAAGUUGCUGCGACUUGUGCGGCAAGGAAGAUGAAAGAUUGUCUCACAUAUUGCUUCAUUGGUUGUAUGCUCGCUUCAUUUGGCAACAUUUUUUUGGGUUGUUUUAUUUUUUUUCUGGGAACAGAGGAAGGGGUUAGAUUUUUCCUGAAAGCAUAAUGGGCCGUAGAAAGAAAGAGCGAAAAAGCACACUCCCCUUGCCUUGAUAACAAACCCAACGCUAAAAAGAGACCUCCUACAUGCACGGGCGAAGACGACCGAAGCUCAGAUUGAGGUCGGGCUCGCUCGGAUCCAGGAGGUGGAGCUCGAGCACGACCAAGCUUGUUCGGCGCUUCGAACCAUCGAAGGUCGCAUUUCUGAGCUUGAGGCUACACUGGCCGGCCAGAAGCACAAAGCCGAGUAGCUCGCUAGGUUGGCCGAGGAGUGGGUCCGGGAGGCCAUCUAGAAUUACCGCCAGUUUGAGGUGUAUCUGGAUGAGCUGGCGGAGGAGGCCACUGACGGCCUAAUUCGAGAUUUCGAGAACUGUCGCGAUCAAGCGCAGCAACUUUGCCCCGAGAUUGACUUCAGCGGCCUUCAUCCGCUUCUGGCUGGAGUCGCCAAGUCUGCGAUCAUGGCUGAAGUGGGCGAGCUUGCUGAGUUACACGAGCUCGUCGCCGAUGUGGACGAAGAUGCUCCUAAGGCCUUUGCUGAGGCCACUGCUAAGGCUGCUGCCGAGGUCGGGCCUGAGAGGCUGAGACUGCGCAAGCCGCCUAAGCUUUACUCCUUGUUUUCUGUUCCUUUUCUUGCCAUUCUUGUAAAGUGGGCCACUUAGGCUUUUUUAUAGUUGACCAUUUUUGUAUUCGAUCCGACCUCAAGGUCGGCAUCUUUUGUACUCGGCCUUUGGCCUUUUGACAUUAAUAAAGUACAUUUUUUGGCACUUUGUGUUUCAAAGUUUUAGCAAGUGUCUGAGCUCGUCUUACUUUGCAUCUUAUGUUGGAUUUUUGCGCUUGGCAUUCGCUUCCAACUUAGACUUAGGAUAAGAGGGUCUUAUAGAGGCGAUGAAGAGCCCACCGCUUUCGAGCUCGUCCGCUGGCGCACUUUAGGUGCCAAGGUCAGACAUCAGGCCCGCUUCGGGCCUCUAUACAAAAGCUAAGAUCGGGACCCCUUUUAGCCUUCGCACUGUAGUUUGUUAGGGUAUCUUUUAGGUAGAAGGUCAUCAUGAAUUUUGAUACCUUUUGACCUUGUAAAUCUUUUUAGGCUUGGGCGUGCGAAUUAAGGUCGCGAUGCCCUUAAUUUUUUUCUGAAGUCGAGGGAGCCUUUUCGGCUCGCGGUCGACGCAAUAAGAUGCUCCGAUGCUAGGGCAUCAUUAUACCUGCAGUCGAGGGAGCUUCCUCGGCUCGCGGUCGACAUUGUAGGGUGCCUCGAGCUCUGAUCGGAGUGUCAUUGUACCUGCAGUUGAGGGAGCUUGUGGUUCACGGUCGACACUGCAGGGCACCCUGAGCUCUAGUCGGAGCGUCAUUGUACCUGCGGUCGUGGGAGCCUUUGGCUCGCGAUCGAUACUACAGGGUGCCCCAAGCUUUGGUUGGGGCGUCAUUGUACCUACGGUCGACGGAACCUAUGGCUUNNNNNNNNNNNNNNNNNNNNNNNNNNNNNNNNNNNNNNNNNNNNNNNNNNNNNNNNNNNNNNNNNNNNNNNNNNNNNNNNNNNNNNNNNNNNNNNNNNNNNNNNNNNNNNNNNNNNNNNNNNNNNNNNNNNNNNNNNNNNNNNNNNNNNNNNNNNNNNNNNNNNNNNNNNNNNNNNNNNNNNNNNNNNNNNNNNNNNNNNNNNNNNNNNNNNNNNNNNNNNNNNNNNNNNNNNNGUACAUGCGGUCGAGAGAGCCCAUGGCUCGCGGUCGACAAUGCAGGGUGCCCCGAGCUUUGGUCGGGGCAUCAUUGUACCUACGGUCGAGGGAGCCUGUGGCUCGCGGUCGACACUGCAGGGCGCGCCGAGCUCUGAUCGGGGCGUCAUUAUAUUCUUGAUGACUUUUGCAUAUUCCUUCGUGCACUUCCCUCAUUGCGUAGUCGGCUUUUGAAGGGCGGAGGCAUUUGAGGAGUGGCGAUGUGACCAACUGAUGGUAUAGCUUGCCCUCGUACAUGGGAUAUGUUGUUGCUCGGUGCUCAAAUCGUCGGGCAUCAAUCUUAUCUGCAGAGAAGACCCCGCCUCAUAGGAGGUUAAUAGGAGGGUCCCUCCAGCUCGGUUCAGUUUCUUUGCAUCAGACCGAUUUUGGGUCCUCUAUGCUUGAUACCUUUUAGAGGUAUUUUAUCAUUGGUGGCUCUCGAGCUUCGAAAUCCUCCAGGACUUGGCUCAUCGCUAGCUAGGAGUUGCUAUAGACUUUUGGACGGUGGGCAUUAAGCUCUUUCACCAAUUUUAGCCCUACAACUAGCGCUUCAUAUUUCGCCAUAUUGUUGGAAGUGGAGACUUCAAAGCGCCGGGGCUGCUCAGCUACUACUCAAUUCGAGUUAGUGAGGAGGAGGCUUGCACCGCUGCCCCCUGAGGUCGAGGAGCCAUUAACAUCUAGGACCCAUGGCUCUCGGAGCGUCUGGAUCUUUCGCUCCAACUCCUCGACUUUUCUGUCGAGCUCGGCAUGGGGCGGACCCCACCUUUGAUGGGUGUUCCCGUGCUCGGGCCAUCAUGCUUAGGGACCGAGCUCGGUGGUGAUGACGCUCUCUUUUGUCAGCCUCCGUGCACUGCCUAGCAGGGGAGUGACAUCACGAGCGCCGUAGUAAGGAGUCGCGCUUGCGAAAAGGAGGUGCAUGCUGGACUCUCGCUUGCUGCGGGUCUUGAACAGCCGUAGUGAGUGUUUGGAUUUGCUGGACGAGCAGCUUGAACUGCCCUGGUAGGAUCUGAGAAAUUUGAUCCGUCGGUACUGCAGGGGGUGGGCUUCGAAGUGAGUUGUCGGGAAUUGGUGCCCGAUGCCUCGAUGCAUUAGAAGUUCCUCUACUCCUCAACUUUAUGAUCAUGACUUCGUCCCUUCUUCUAGCGCCAAAUGUUGUGGUUGAAAUUUGGCCAAAGGGUGACCAUGCUGAGGGAGUUGAGGAGACGCCGGCCGAGACGGAGAAGAGGGCCACCUCCAGUGCUCCAGGGUACCUCCAAGAAGACACCGGCCGGGACGGAGAAAAGAAGCCACCUCCUGUGCUCCGGGGUACCUCCGAUGGCUAAGUUAGCGGAAUUUUGGAGGGUCCUGUUGUGGUUGGGAGAGAAGUCCUCUCGGAGUACCUUUUCAUGGCCUCUUUUAUAUUUCUUACGAGAGUACCUCGGUGGCGGAGGUAUGGCCCUUGACAGAUAUGGCAGGGUAUGGCCCUUAGCAUGUGUAGCAGGGUAUGGCCUUGGAAAGUGUAGCAGGGUGUGGCCUUGGUUGACACGUCAUGGCGUGACCAACAAGCAAAGUACGGUACGGUGAGGCUGCUACAGGUGAUGGCUACGACAUGUGUUUGCCAAGGCAGCUUGGUCCCUGGCCGAGGUCGCCUCCUCUGGCAGAGGUUGGCUCGGUCUCUGGCAGAGGUCGUCUCAGUCUCUAGCCGAGGUCGCCUCCUCUGGCGGAGGUCCGCUUGGUCUCUGGCCGAGGUCGGUUCGCUUUUUGGCCAAGGUCGGCUCGCUCGACGGGGUUUGGGUGGUUCCAUGCUGGAGUACGACGAUCCAUUUUACCUCCCAUCAUAGAGUAUCUGUUUCUAUCUCAAUAUCCAAAAAGUAAAGUGUCUUCAAAGCAUUUCUCAGCUUUUCAUUCUUCAUAAAGUCUUCCUUUGGGUUACCCAACCCAUGAGCUUGGGAUACCUUAUCAGGGAGGCCAUUUCUCAUGUCUGUUCUACGUUGCAUGCUUCUAGAACUCUUACUUGGAUGCUUGCAUGUUUUGGCAUCAGAAUUGACUUGGGCUCUAUGUUAUCCCAGCUCCAAAAAUUAUGGUUAAAAUUGAGACUGCACAUGAAUGUGUAUGAAUAAAUUUAUGCCCUUACGCAAAUUUUUGAGUUCAUCUUAGUAUUCAAAAAGAAGGGUUGCUGUUAUGUAAAUUUUACUGUAGAGACAAAUAAUCGAAUCACUUAAUGUCUAUGAAAUAACAAUGGCCAAGAUCAAAUAUGGACAUGUCUUAAUAAUGCAUUAGAAAAAAAACAAAAACAAAUGCACAUGCCUAAUAUUUCUCAUGUACAUUUUGUUAUUAAGUAUGUUAUUAGAUACUUGAUUUAUUUGUUCAUAUGUUUUUCUUUUUACCAUUAGAAAGUUGUGAUCUUCUGAAAAGCAAAAGGAGUAUUGCAAUUAUUGGUUAGUGGCACCUCACUUUGGUUAAACGAGAAAGGAAAUUUAUUUGAGUAGUUUGCCCCUUAGGCAGAUAUUUGGCCCACCACUUGAAUAUCUGCAGUUAUUGCAGAUUUUCUUGUGUGUGACAGCUGAAAAGAGAAUCUCAGUGAUAUAAACCUAAAGAUGUUAAUACCAGAUAUUCAUGAUCUUUUUCUCUUAGCGCCAAUGUUUUUAACUUGACAAACUUACAUUAACAGCAGGCUACUUAUUAACAUGAAUUGUCAUGUAUGCACUUUCCUAAAUCAUUUCCCAUAUUUUGCUUGUAUGUGCUUUUGACUUACUUGAGUGAGGCUUAUCAUGUCCAUUGGUGCAUUUUUACUAGUAUCUUAUAAUUGUCUUUCAGACUCGCCAUGUGACCCCUGCAUGGUCCAUUGCUGCAUGCAUUGGUGUGCCAUCUAUCAAGAGCAUCGAGAAAUGAAAGGGCGCCUCUCUGAUAAUGCCAUUAUGCCGAUGACUAUUGUGAACCCACCUCCAUUGCAGGAAAUGAGCAUGAAUGAAAGUCAUGGUUCAGCAGCCUCUGCUGCCAGUAUUCAAUAGAUCGAACAUGCCAAUUUAGAGAUGGAAGAUUUAUAGAUAGCGUGUUUUAUGCAGAUAAGGUUUGAGGAAUUUUUGAUAAAAAUGCUUUUAUCAAGAGACUUUUCUAGAUGCCUAGGUAUAGCUGGAGAGCUUUUCUUCUGUUGGUUUGAUACAGAACUAAUGCAACUCUAGAAAGUACAAACUAUGGAUAUCUGUUUGUCAUUUCAAGAUUAAUAUCUUGUCCUUGUUGGCUCAAUUCGAAAAAGUACUGCAACUUUCUUAAGGUUCAAGCAAUGAUUUGAAUUCAUCAGUUAACUGAGGGUUGUUGCUCUUCAAUUCUUAAGGGUGCUUCAAGGCUUAAUUGGUCUUAGAAUGGCUGCACUAGAACCAUAUGUUUGAAGUGCUCAAACUGGACUCGAAAUUUUCUCAAGAUUUGCACACCUAUGGCAACUUUCAACUAUCAUAUCUGGGCAUCUAUCUCUAUGAUUCCGAUGCUUGCUUGCAUCUGUUUUUCCUUCUUCGAAAUCAUGGAUUGUAUGUCUUUUGGAAUCAUGCAUUUUAUCUAAUCUACUAGACGUAUGGAUGACAUUAAACAUAUUUUAUGACUAUAAUAUUUUUCCAACACUAACAGAUUCAAAACCAAGACUUCUCUAGAAUCCUUCAGAUCCUUGGUAAUUUUGUGGAGGAAGUAGUGUUGGAAUGCCUCGUUAUGAUAACUGAGAAAUGGACUAUAACUGAAAAACUGUAUUGGUGGUUCGUCAACUUUAUGAUCGAGUUUUAUAUUACAAGCACGAACCUCAAAGUUCUACGUGCAUGACAUCCCUAGUUCUCAGUGAAAGCUCGUAUUGCCUCCGAGGUGGGGAAAGCAGUCUCCCCAAGCUAUAUAAAUAUCGCUCUCAAUGGGGCGCAUUUGCUAUUUGGCCAGUUUAGGUGCUUCAAAAGACGAGAGGUGGAAGACAGAGGCAGUGGAGGAGAUAGAUCCAGUUUUCUCAUCGGAUUCAUUGAGAAUAGAGCAAAGGAGGAUUGUUCUUGAUUUUCGAGUAUUUGAAUGCAAGAACCGAGUAAGGAUCUUGAUUCCUCUAGAUCUAUUGUUUCUUGGAUGCUAUGUAUUCUGUCUUGGUCGAGAAUAGAACAAAGGAGGUCAGAUUUCUAUCCUCGUCUCUAUCUUCUUUCCUAGAUUCUCUCUUUCACCGAUCUUUCUCUCGCGCUGAUAUUGAUUUUCGAGUAUUUGAUCAUAAGAACUGAGUAAAAAUCUUGAUUUCCUCUAGAUUUAUUGUUUCUUUGAUGCGAUAUAGUCUGUGUUGAUGAUCUUGGAGAUUGGAAGAGAUUGAAAGCUAUAGCACCGAUCAUUCUCUUCUUGUGAUUAUUUGUAGAUGAUGGAUUCUUUUAUCAUUUUUUUUAGGUUUUCGAAUUGAUUGGAUGUAUUGAGAACUGAAUGAAGGGAAGGAAGUUAGAUUUCCUCAUUGUUUCCAUCUUAUGAUCUUUCUCUCCGGCGGGUCUUUAUUUUUCUCCCUCCUGAUUUCCAUCUUUGAGUAUUUGAACACCAGAGCUGACCGGUAGUGCUAGUUUUCAUUUGAUCUAGGGUUUGGUUGAUGUGAUGCUGGAUCAACGUAGUAUUUCUCUUCGGUCAUCAUUGUUCUAGUGACACGAGCCAUCUAGGAUCAUCAAUGUAUCCGGUCCAUAAGUCAAGUAGAGAAGAACAUCCCAUAGACAGAGAAAAUCUCGUAGAGAGAGAAAAUCCCAUAGAGAGAAAAGUUCAUAGGGAGAGAAAGUGGGGAAGAGUGAGAAGAGAGCAGAAUGAGAGAGAGAGAGGAGAAAGGAGGAGAGAAACGAGAGAAAGAAGAGAGGAGAGAGAAGAAAAGAGAAACUCUCUUCUUUCUUCUCAAAAUAGGGGAUCCGUCUCCCCCUUCCUUCACGAUUGGAUCUAGAGGCGGCUGUGGUGGCCAGCUCCGAAGGCGACAAGAGGUGGCUCGGCCAACCUUGGUGGCCGACGGCGGCAAGCAAGGGCCAACAACAAAAAGAAGAGGAUGAAGAGGCCGAAACUCUUUCUUCCUUCUUGGUCUUUGACGGUGGGGCUCCGGUGACGACCCAAAGCAUCAAAGGGGACAAGCCCCCUUCUCCGGUGACGAGCGCCGGCAAAAGGAGGAACAACCAGGGAUUUCGAAUAUAAAAACAGAGGAUUAAUAGGGCCUUUUAUUCUUGAAUUUUUCCGGCAAAGACUCGACUGGAAGCGAGGCUUAUGAACAAGGAAACUGAGGAGAAGAAGAUCAAGGCUCAUAUCUGUGAUUCCAAUGAACCUUGGCUGCAUUUCACGGCGAGCAUGGGGAGCUUAGGCCGUCGGCAAUCUAAGGAAAAAAGAGAAGAAAAUGAUGGAGGUUGUGAGAUCUAUCGGUAAAGGAGAUUUGGGGUGGUCGCUGACUUAAAUAGAAGUGGAGGCUAGGCUUAUCCUAGCCUCCGACAGUGUCCGUAGUGGAGGACUCUUCCUCCUCCUCUGCGUGGUUCACCAGGGGUUUGCCCUGUUCUGAAUGGAAAGAGGGCCUUCAGACCCUCUCUUGGCAUUGGGCUAGGCCAACGGGCUGGCCCAGUGAGGCUGGGCCUCACAUUAAGUGCCUGUAAUUGGUGCAGAAAAAACAAGGAUGAUAGAAAAAGGUCAAGAAUUUUGAGAUUUAAUGGCUCUUGAUGCCAUGCAAAUAUUCGAAAGGAUUAGUGGAGAAGAAAGAAAGCAGUACUUUAUACAGAAUUUAUCUUCGACGAUCAUGAAUUUGACUGGCUUGGUCAUUUAUGAUGAUGCUUAAAUCUGAUCUGAAGACGGUAAAAUUAAGGCUAUCAGCAUCAACUUGGAUUCAGUUGGUUCUUAACUUCAGGUCGACCUUCCUAUAUUUCCUUCCAUGCUUUUCUCUUCCUUCAUAUUUUUAUUUUAGAAUAACUUGGUCGAGGUGCCCUAAAUUAAACAAAACAAGUAGGUGAAUUGGAGCUGGUUCUUGUAGUUUGAUGAGUAAAAUGGGAACAGCUUGUCAUAAUGUAGCUUAAGCCAUAGUGUCAAUAAGACCUGACCUCAGAAAAUUUUCAAUCAGGCCACAGAUGGCAUGGGGUCCAAAUCAAUGCACUGUAGAAAUAUGAAAAAGCUACAUGUGCUUACAGCUUAAUAUUUUUUUUUUAAUCUGUGAAAUCUUUUUCUUUUGCUAGCUGAAAUCUUCACCUGCGUUUUCUUGUUCACUGUGAGUGGCAUGCUUGCCUUUCACAUCCUAUGAAAGUUAGUUGUUUUUUUUCUUAUAUAUAUAUAUAUUUGUGUGGUUCUAUCAAAAUGAGCAUUCAAGCUACCAGCUAUUGUACAGAUGCAUGCAUAACUGCUCUCUUUCCUUUUGCUAUUUACUUCUCAUGUCAGGACCUGAUGGUUUGGUUUUACUCAUCAUGUGCCUGGUCCAGGUUUUAAAUACAAGUUGGUUCACCUCCAAUUUUCAAAUUAAUUUCAUUUAGGUAGAGCAGGGGACACUCAUCUAGCAUGGCAAAGAGAUCUCGCAGAUGAUCUGCACGGGCCAAGAAGGAUCAUGUUGGCUGCAUAUGGGGUUUGAUUAGGAUGCUUGACUUCCACCAUGGGCAUUUAACUCGAAAAUUACUUCGACAUAGGAAGCAUGGGACUGGUGGACAUGCAGAUAAGACUUUCCUGAUAUUGUGUCAAUCUACUGAUACUGGCUAUUUUGUUAAUCUUCUUUUUGAAUUGUUUGGUUUGUCUCUAUCGGCUACUUAUUUAUUUGCACCACAUAAUUGAUUAAUAAAUGAAGAGAUUGUCCUAAAAAUGCCCUUCGUUUAGCAAUGCAUCUAAUUCAGAGACUUCUCCUACUUGAUCAAGAUGCUGCUAUACCUGAGUACCAAUGCUUAAUGCCCUUAUUUGUAACUAUGACUGAGCAAGCCACAACAGAAGCUCAAAAACGUCUGUUCUUUUAUAAUUUUGUGUUAUAUUAUCUAUGCAGGCACUGGAUAUUCAAGGAGUACACUUAAUUUAUUGGGCAAUUAUGAGGAAAAGCAUAAAGAUGUUGAUGUAAGUCUUGCUAUUUUCUUUCUGAAAUAGAAAUAAAUGCAUAUGAAAUGUUUUUUUUUUCUUUUANNNNNNNNNNNNNNUAAUAUCAAAGUUUAAUAUAUCAUUUUUGUGGUUGGUGAUGUGAUAAAUAUGGACAUAUAUAUAUAUAUAUAUAUAUUCUCAUGCAAAGGCCACGAAAUAUUAUAUUUAGUUUUGAGUGACUUGGUAGUACCUUUCAGGUUGGGAUGUCUGAAAUACAUCGGGUAUCCCCACAAAAAAAAAAGAAAUAACAAAUAAAAAGAUACAUUAUCUUGCCAUUGUUUUUCCAUAUAGCUGUAUCUGGUUUUACUUUAAAAAUUUACCUCCGAUCAAUCAUUAUGCUGUAAAAAUCAAUCAAUACUACUUUGCCAUGAUUUUAUCAUAUAGUUAAAUUAGAAUUCUUUAGGCAGUCGGUCUGAGCAUGAAUUCUUCCAGUUGAACUCAAAAGAGUAAUUCUUGGACAAGUGUUAAAGUGUUCAUUUUGAUGAUGCCGUUGGGUCCAAGUGUUCAAACAGGAUUAUAUAUACAUUGGUUAAUUAGAAAAUAAAGAGGAUGGAGAUUCACUGUGAUUGGAGCAGCGCCGCAUCGCCAUUUAUUCAUGGGAUUUUCAGAUUUGUAAUAGUAGCCAUUUUGUAACUCAGAUGGAUUUCUCUUUUCUGUUUGCCCAUACUGCCAGCUACUCUAGGAGGUUGAAUCUCUGAAGUAUCUGUAUCCCAGUUGACAGUGCUGUUAUCUCUGUCAUCUAAAUCAGGCUGAAGGACAUCAGCAACAAAAUCUCCAUUGUCUGAGACAUGGGAUGCAUCUUCCAGUGUGUUAAUCUUUUCAAUCACCAAAUCCAUCCGCUUAGAAGGGAAGUCAUCCAGGUCACUUUCAUCAGAUGGGCUUUGCUGCCGGACUUUUUCCCACAUCAUUGCAUCAGACUUCUCAUCCCUUCCUCUAUCUUUACCUUUGCGAUUAUUCCGUUUCUGUUUAUGCUGGACAAUGUAUAUAUUAAAAAGAAGACAGGAUUGCAUUACAAAUUCCAGUCUCCAUUUCUGUAAUAUACUAAAACAUGUAAAAGUUAGUUUAGAAUGGAUGCUUCAAAGACAGAAGCAGUAAAAAGCCGCAACUCCUGCAACUCAUUCAGUGCAAAAAGGUUUCACCGGCACAUUAAAGAUUACUUAAAAGGACAAGACAAUAUGGAAACUGGAAAAGAAUGGGAUCAUAUAAGAAUUAGAGAUUGUGCAGCACAAUAUCAAAUUACAGCAACGACAAUUGCACAUUCUGUUACUCGGUACCAGGAACAAGCUGUCAGAGUUUGUAAAGAAAGCAUUGCCAACAAAAUGAGAGCAAACCUAAAAGAUGCAGUCAUUACAGGAAUAAAUCACAUAACAAUCUGCCAGGCAGCUUAAUAGCUGAGACAUGAAUUUCAAUUAGCCAUUCAAAGUAACACCAGGAGGUAAUCUGGCUCUGAAGACCCUCUUAAACCUAGAAACGGCCUCGCGUUAUCAAAAAAACAAGAAAAAGCCCAAAAGUGCAAACUUAUCAGCAGCUAAUUAAGAUCAAACAAUCAACUACCAUAAUCACAUAAUACAAAUUUACAGAUGGUUGGUUGUCAAUCUUAACUAUGCAAUAUAUACAUAGAAUAUCAUAUAAAUGCCAAAAUUGUUGAGAAACAGCAAAACGUAGAAGUAGAAAGCAAUAAUUGUGAUAGCAUAAGGAUGACUCCAAUGCUAAGGCGAGGGGAAAUAUUUACUUGAAAAUGCAAUAUCUGACUUUGUCUAACAUAAAUGAUGAAUUAACUCCAAGAAUACAAAUGCACAUAAACAGCAGUAUGUUAUAUAGUUAGCACCCAGAUCAAUGACAAAUACAGAUAUGAACUUGAUAAAAAGGAGAAAUAAACAUAUAUAAUUCGAGAAAAAACACUAAACUACUUGGUUGUGAUUGAUAGACUAUAAUCUUUAUGUAAAAAGCAGCUGAAUGCUGAAUGAACCACAAAUAGGCAGCUUUAUCAGUGAAAAAUUAAUCAUGAAUAUGCAGCUUUACCAGUAAAUUAGAAAUUAAUGACAAAUAAGCAGAUUUAUCAGUGAAUCAGAAAUUAUGUGUUUAAUCAGAAAAAUUGAAACUCCACCAUCUACACCACUUACCGAUGCUGAAUGGCAGGCUGGAGAAGAAUUGAUCAAUGUGCAUUUCAACAUCAUUCUAAAAAUCUGUGAGGAUUCCUGACAUCAUUUCACUUAUCUGUAAAAGUAGAACCAUAAAUAGCUGGAGUCAUAUCACUGUUUAACGAUUAAUAUCAAAUAAACUUAAUAGAAGGUGAUAAGAAUCUUCUGAGAAUACAGGAUGAUUUAUCUUGACAAAUUCCAUAAGGUGUGAAUCUAUCUAAAAUGGUAUAAUUACCUGCUUCGAAGAUAGCCCUAGUUCCUUAAGAUCUUCUAUCUGCCCAUCAAAACAGUCCAUCUGAUUAAAUUGCUCCAAUAACAGGGAAAAGGAGGAUUAAAUUGAAAUGGUUUUCUUUUCAAUGAUAAUGGUUUUCACUGUGCUUACUUCCUUAAAGGGUUCUGGAGUUUCCUCGCGAAGUUCGAGUAUGUAGGUAGCUCUCUUCUCUCCAAUCCACUGAACAAAGAACAGGAAUUAGCAUAUAUCAAGCCAAAAUUACGAGCAACAGACAGAAGUACAAUCUAAGAUCUUGAAACUGACCUUCAAUUGUUUAAGUUCCUCCCUGUAAGAAAAAGGAAAAAGAAAAGGAAUAGAUUAGAGAGAAAAAGAAUAUAUUAGAGAGACCAUGUUUCCUAUAAAAAAAGUCAUCUAACUGUAAAUAAAAGCGAUUAAGGGAAUUGCAGAUCUUAACCAUUUCAUGAUAAUUUGUGUUCAUCUGAUGGCUUGCAGAUCUUAUACAAAAGGGGUGGUUGAUAAAUAACCUAUGUAUCUGACAAUACAGCUUUGUGAAUUUUUUUGAUGCAGCUUUCUAGGUUUGCAAAUAUUAGGUCUUGAAAUGUAAAAGAAUGAACAAGAUGACACUCUCUAACUGUAGUUACAUUGAUGUUAUCCACAUUUCUUGUUGAAAUAAUUAUCGCAAGUAAACAAGGAUAAAUUAGUUUUCUAAAGAAAGUCAAGGUUAAUCAGUUCUUAAUUUCCAUGUGAGAACUGAAAUCAAUAAAACGUUCAGCAAUGUUUUCUUGAAGUGAUAAGUUGUGAAAAUGGUUAACUAGUCAAUCACAUACGUGACCCAGACCAAAUUUGUAGCAAUAACUUAUGUUUUACAUGGCAAGAAAUACCGAAACAAUCCACCAUUUCAUGCAAAAGAAGGAAUUCCUAACAUGGUCCCAAAUGUUCCGUCAGAUCCAGCAUCAUGUCAUGCAAAACUAAUGCUAAACCCCAACUUACAAGUGUUAAUAUAACUAAGCCAAUUUUUGUUGCAUCUCCUGAAGAGGAAUAUUUUUCACUGUAUAUAAGAAGAAGCUCCAUGCAACUACUUGUAACAUCCAAACUUCUACUUCCCCACUAAGUAUACCCCAUGCCUUUUGGACUCCACAUUGCAAAAAGAGGAUAAGGUUUUGAUGUCGUCAAUAAUAGAGGGUGUUAAUCAUAACAUCAUGAAAUUUCAUUGUGCAGGGACAACAACAAUAGUCAUAACAGAUCUGGGAGCAAAUGCAUCAUAAUUUAACCUAAUUUUAUAAGGAUUUAUCACUUUGUUUCUUGCUUAGCAAUGCAAUACUUUUUGUAGCAUCUUUCAGUUCUCAUAGUCUCUUAUUACAAAAAAUAUGCUAUUGUUAUCACCUGUCACUCCACAUAGUUUUAGCCAUGAAACAUUAUACCACAUGAAAAUUUUAUGUAUAAUGCAAAAAAAGAUAUUAUAAAAAAUUAGACACGGUAUGAUAAAUAUUAUGGUAUUAAUCAUUAAUUUAUUUGCUUUGACUUCCAAUUUAUAUAAUUUAAUUUGAUUAGUUUAGACUCUAUAAUAAAGACUGAAUGACUUAUCAGUCAAUGUUAAUAUUUUGUCAAAUAUAAAUAAUUAGACUAUUUUUUGUUACAACAAAAACAAUUAACCUGUAACGGUUAGCUGGACUUCUAUUGAUCAUUAUUUGUUAUUUCUCCUUAAUAAGAAGAAAGCGCUCAUUACUUACUUAUUAGCCUUGUUAACGAAAGUUAGGCAUGCUUGCACCAGUGAUUUCUGCAACCAUUAAUAAGAAAAAAAGUUACGCAUAAUCAAAAUGACAAUACUCAUUAACAACUUGCCAUAAAAAAAAUGAAAAAUACAAAACCUUGUCCCCUGUAUUAUGAGUUCUGACGAUGUCCGGUGGAGUUUUGAUGUGAUCGAGCGUCAGGGACGGCCCAAUACAUUUGGAGGCCUAAGGCGAAUACAAUGAAUGAGGCCUCUCUUUUUUUAAUAAUAAAAUUUUUUAAUAAGUAUAAAAUACUUAAAAAAUGAUAUGAAAAUAGAUAGCUAUCAAGUACAAUAUUUCAACAAAGAUACAUGAAUCUAACAAAAAUAGACAAGAAGCCUUUUCAAUUUAAUACGAUUUUUGAAUGGAAGCAUAGAAAAGUAAUUAUUCUAAAAGAAGGGCCAUAAAACUGAUUAAAUAACUGAGAUAAUGCUUGGCAAUACUGUUUACCAUGUCAAGCAAGAGCAGAAUAGGAAAAGGUCAUCCCAUGGCACUUCAUGGUCAAGGUAAAGAAAAGAAUUUGUCCAGAAAGGAACCUCUCUAUAAGAGAAAGUAGGGGCAUUAUGGGAAAUUCACUCCAUCUAAUUAAUAAAAGUCCCAUCCCACCAUCUCCCCUUCAAGUGAGUACCCAAGCAGCAACUGCAACAUCACAGCACAGCAGCCAUUCAACCCCCUCCCUCCUUUUCUCUCUCUACCACCCAAGAGGGGAGAAGAAACCGAGAGGAGAAAAUUAAAAGAAUCUCCACCCUCCAAGAAGUCCAUUUCCAAUCCCCCUUUCUUCCUGAUGGCCCAGCUGGGUCAGGAGUAAUGUGAGGUAAGGAAAACCAAGACCAAAACCAAAAAAGAGAAGGGAUGAAAGAUAAGAGUGGCUUCAGGCGUGUAUCAAGCCAACCAAAUCCCUCCUCUCUCUCNNN
rnacentral:lncRNA from 1 species